rnacentral:rRNA from 1 species
GACGAACGCUGGCGGCGUGCCUAAUGCAUGCAAGUCGCACGGAGAGCCUUCGGGCUCUGAGUGGCGCACGGCUGAGGAACACGUGGGAAUCUGCCUGACCGUGGGGGAUAACGCGCCGAAAGGCGUGCUAAUCCCGCAUACGCUCGCAAGAGGAAAGCAGCAAUGCGCGGUCGGAGGAGCCUGCGGCCCAUCAGGUAGUUGGCGGGGUAACGGCCCACCAAGCCACUGACGGGUAGCUGGUCUGUGAGGACAACCAGCCAGACUGGGACUGAGACACGGCCCAGACUCCUACGGGAGGCAGCAGCAAGGAAUUUUCGUCAAUGGGCGCAAGCCUGAACGAGCAACGCCGCGUGGAGGAUGAC